rnacentral:misc_RNA from 1 species
GAAAUGCGAUAAGUAAUGUGAAUUGCAGAAUUCAGUGAAUCAUCGAGUCUUUGAACGCACAUUGCGCCCCCUGGUAUUCCGGGGGGCAUGCCUGUCCGAGCGUCAUUGCUGCCCUCAAGCACGGCUUGUGUGUUGGGCUCUCGCCCCCCGCUUCCGGGGGGCGGGCCCGAAAGGCAGCGGCGGCACCGCGUCCGGUCCUCGAGCGUAUGGGGCUUCGUCACCCGCUCUGUAGGCCCGGCCGGCGCCCGCCGGCGAACACCAUCAAUCUUAACCAGGUUGACCUCGGAUCAGGUAGGGAUACCCGCUGAACUUAA